ACUGUAAUCAUCCUCAUUAUUUUAAUAAGAAAUUUUUCUAUCUGUGAUGGAAGUUUUUAUGUACGAUUGCCUGAUCUGAAGACAAGACUUUCGCUGCAUGCAUAUUUAAUGUAUGACGUCACCCACACAGAGUGAGAGCUCGAGGUUUUCUUUGAAAGUUUGAUGGAAAAUGUACAGAGACUUGUCGCAGUUAAUGCAGUACCAAAUGCUUGCUUUCUUGGAGUAUGUGCUUGAAACAAGAAUGUCCUGGAGAAAACAGACCACCACAAGAGAAGGGAUUGAGAAGGAGGGCUUCCUGUUGACAGAUCAGGGGGUGCCUUGAGGUUCCACUUU